UACGGAGGAUCCAAGCGUUAUCCGGAAUUACUGGGCGUAAAGAGUUGCGUAGGUGGCAGAGUAAGUAGGUAGUGAAAUCGUGUGGCUCAACCAUACUCACAUUAUCUAAACUGCUCAGCUAGAGGACGAGAGAGGUAAUUAGAAUUGCUAGUGUAGGAGUGGAAUCCGUAGAUAUUAGUAGGAAUACCGAUGGCGUAGGCAGAUUACUGGCUCGUUCCUGACACUAAGGCACGAAAGCGUGGGGAGCAAACAGGAUUAGAAACCCAGUAGUCC
rnacentral:rRNA from 1 species